AAGGAAUAUUGCUCAAUGGGAGAAAUCCUGAAGCAGCAACGCCGCGUGGAGGAUGAAGGGUCUAUGGCUUGUAAACUCCUGUAAAGAAGGAAAAAAUUCCCAUUAGAUGGGAGAUGAUGGUACUUCUGGAGUAAGCCCCGGCUAACUACGUGCCAGCAGCCGCGGUAAUACGUAGGGGGCAAGCGUUGUCCGGAUUUACUGGGUGUAAAGGGUGCUCAGGCGGAUUUGUAAGUCAGAGGUGAAAUCUUACAGCUUAACUGUGAAACUGCCUUUGAUACUGCAAGCCUAGAGUAUGGAAGAGAGUGAUGGAAUAUCUGGUGUAGCAGUGAAAUGCGUAGAUAUCAGAUAGAACACCAAUGGCGAAGGCAGUCACUUGGUCCAUUACUGACGCUAAAGCACGAAAGCGUGGGUAGCAAACA
rnacentral:rRNA from 1 species